CCUUGUCGGGUAAGUUCCGACCCGCACGAAAGGCGUAACGAUCUGGGCACUGUCUCAACGAGAGACUCGGUGAAAUUAUACUAUGCGUGAAGAUGCGCAUUACCCGCGACAGGACGGAAAGACCCCAUGGAGCUUUACUGUAGCCUGAUAUUGAAUUUCGGUGCAGCUUGUACAGGAUAGGUAGGAGCCGUGGAAACGGGAGCGCCAGCUUCCGUGGAGGCGCCGGUGGGAUACUACCCUGGCUGUAUUGAAGUUCUAACCCGCACGUCUUAGCGACGUGGGAGACAGUGUCAGGUGGGCAGUUUGACUGGGGCGGUCGCCUCCUAAAAAGUAACGGAGGCGCUCAAAGGUUUCCUCAGCACGGUCGGAAAUCGUGCGAAGAGUGUAAAGGCAAAAGGAAGCUUGAUUGCAAGACAUACAGGUCGAGCAAGGACGAAAGUCGGACUUAGUGAUCCGGUGGUUCCGCAUGGAAGGGCCAUCGCUCAACGGAUAAAAGCUACCCCGGGGAUAACAGGCUUAUCUCCCCCAAGAGUUCA
rnacentral:rRNA from 1 species